CCAAAAACAUAGCCCUUAAUAAAAAUUAAAGGUGUGACCUGCCCAAUGGUUUAAAAAUAAAUAAUUAUAAAAAGAUUAAAAUUAAACUUAAAGGACGCAGUAUCCUGACUGUGAUAAUGUAGCAUAAUCACUCGCCACUUAAUUGGUGGAUAGUAUGAAUGGUUAAACGAAUAUUACACUGUCUCCUUCAGAGAAAUUAUAAAAUUUAAAUAAUAGUAAAGAUGCUAUUUAAAACUGUAAGACGAAAAGACCCUAUAGAGCUUAACUAUAAUCUAUAUUAAUAAUUAUAAUUAAAGAUAAUUACUUUUAAACAUAUAGAAUGUUAGUUUAGUUGGGGCGACUAUCUUCUAAAAUAAACGAAGAUGAGCAAAGUUAAUUAAGAAACUUAUUGUAUAAAACAUAAAUUUAACAAUUAUAAUAAUAGGCUAUAAAGACCCAUUACUCUUAAUAAGAAGAUUAAUGAUCAACAAAUAAAAGCUACCUUAGGGAUAACAGGAUAAUUUUGUUUUAGAGAUCAAAUCAAAAACGAAGUUUGUCACCUCUAUGUUGAAUUAAGAUAUCCAGAUAAUGCAGAAGUUAUCAAAGGUAGGUCUGUUCGACCUCUAAGAUCUUACAUGAUUUG
rnacentral:rRNA from 1 species